rnacentral:rRNA from 1 species
GACGAACGCUGGCGGCGUGCUUAACACAUGCAAGUCGAACGGUAAGGCCCUUUCGGGGGUACACGAGUGGCGAACGGGUGAGUAACACGUGGGUAAUCUGCCCUGCACUUCGGGAUAAGCCUGGGAAACCGGGUCUAAUACCGGAUAUGAGUCCCGGCCGCAUGGUCUGGGGUUGGAAAGUUUUUCGGUGCAGGAUGAGCCCGCGGCCUAUCAGCUUGUUGGUGGGGUAAUGGCCUACCAAGGCGACGACGGGUAGCCGGCCUGCGAGGGUGAUCGGCCAAACUGGGAAUGAGCCACGGCCCAGACUCCUACGGGAGGCAGCAGUGGGGAAUAUUGCACAAUGGGCGGAAGCCUGAUGCAGCGACGCCGCGUGGGGGAUGACGGUCUUCGGAUUGUAAACCCCUUUCAGUAGGGACGAAGCGCAAGUGACGGUACCUGCAGAAGAAGCACCGGCCAACUACGUGCCAGCAGCCGCCGUAA